CCUACGGGGUGCAGCAGUGGGGAAUAUUGGACAAUGGGCGAAAGCCUGAUCCAGCCAUGCCGCGUGUGUGAAGAAGGCCUUCGGGUUGUAAAGCACUUUCAGUGGGGAAGAAAGCCUUGGGGCUAAUACCCUCGAGGAAGGACAUCACCCACAGAAGAAGCACCGGCUAACUCCGUGCCAGCAGCCGCGGUAAUACGGAGGGUGCGAGCGUUAAUCGGAAUUACUGGGCGUAAAGCGCGCGUAGGCGGUCUGAUAAGCCGGUUGUGAAAGCCCCGGGCUCAACCUGGGAACGGCAUCCGGAACGGUCAGGCUAGAGUGCAGGGGAGGAAGGUAGAAUUCCCGGUGUAGCGGUGAAAUGCGUAGAGAUCGGGAGGAAUACCAGUGGCGAAGGCGGCCUUCUGGACUGACACUGACGCUGAGGUGCGAAAGCGUGGGUAGCAAACAGGAUUAGAUACCCCAGUAGUC
rnacentral:rRNA from 1 species